rnacentral:lncRNA from 1 species
CAAGAGAGUGACCAUAGCACUGUUACUUGGCAGCACUAUUGUUUUCUUUCUUUCUUUAAAUAUUUUUAAUUACUUGUAUUUCUGGUGAGAUUAAUUCUUUCUUUCUUUUUUUAUUUUUAAGAUUCUGAAAACCCUGUCACCUGCUUUAUUUCUGGAGAAGGGUAAAGGGAGAAGGGAAAAUAUUCACUUGAAUUUGAGGGGCAGCUAACCUGGAAGCAACAAUUUCAGGCCUCUAAGUUUCCUCUGAUCCAUAAGGGAAUGCUGAAACUUCCUUGUUUGGAGAUCCAAAGAGUUUAAUUUUUCCCUAGAGCAAGAUCAACAAUUUUCACUGGGAUGAAAGAAUAAAGAACAAACUCAAUAGCACCAAAUGGGGCUUUAACACAGAAAACAGGGCCAUUCUUUUUAAAUGCAAAUUUUUACAUUAAAAUAUGUUUAUAAAUCAUAGUAGGUGUUCUUCCUCUUGAUUCAACAUUUCUCCCUUCCCUAACAGGAGCCCUGGAACCUGAAGAGCAUGUACAUUGCUAACCAGACAUACAAUCCAGCCGCUCUGUCCAAAUUGGAAUCUGAUUGCUAAUGGACUAGACUUGGGCCUGCCCCAAGGGAUGGGCAGCAGUAACUAUGCUCUCAGGGAGAAUGGGUACUGAGGAUGCCACCAGUCAAAGAGCCGAACGCUGUGCACUGGGUCCAGGAUGACUUGCACACCCUGCUCACUGUGCAGUUUCCGACCACCACGGACAGGGGAAUCUUGGAACACCAGUCUCACUCGAUGAUGCCACAUGUCCGUGCUCACACUGAUAGUAAACUGUUUUUUGAACUUGAAGUUGAAUUCCCACAUUGGUUCCUGUCUGUUCCCAACAAUCUUGCUGCAUCAGAAAAGUAAGCAUUUGGAAUUCUUUCAUGCGCUGGGGGUGCUUUCUGGAAUGGCUGGAUUCUUGGAGAUUCGAGCAGCAAAUGGCUCAUACAUAUGGUACAGAGAGAUCGGAUCACACAAGCCCGGAGACAGUGCAGCUUCUCCAUUGACUCUGGUCGCAGACGCAAAGGCAGGGAAGCAUCCAGCGGGUAGUGCCUUCGGUAUGACCUGGUCCAAAAAGUAGCAGUGCAAGUGACAAUCCAGGCA